rnacentral:rRNA from 1 species
GUAGGUGGCAAGCGUUGUCCGGAAUUAUUGGGCGUAAAGCGCGCGCAGGCGGUCCUUUAAGUCUGAUGUGAAAGCCCACGGCUCAACCGUGGAGGGUCAUUGGAAACUGGGGGACUUGAGUACAGAAGAGGAAAGCGGAAUUCCAAGUGUAGCGGUGAAAUGCGUAGAGAUUUGGAGGAACACCAGUGGCGAAGGCGGCUUUCUGGUCUGUAACUGACGCUGAGGCGCGAAAGCGUGGGGAGCAAACAGGGAUUAGAUACCCUGGUAGUCCACGCCGUAAACGAUGAGUGCUAAGUGUUAGGGGGGGUUUCCCGCCCCCUUAGUGCUGCAGCUAACGCAUUAAGCACUCCGCCUGGGGAUACGGCCGCAAGGCUG